rnacentral:rRNA from 1 species
AUUGAACGCUGGCGGAAUGCUUUACACAUGCAAGUCGAACGGCAGCACGGACUUCGGUCUGGUGGCGAGUGGCGAACGGGUGAGUAAUGUAUCGGAACGUGCCCAGUCGUGGGGGAUAACGUAGUGAAAAUUACGCUAAUACCGCAUACGAUCUAUGGAUGAAAGCGGGGGAUCGCAAGACCUCGCGCGAUUGGAGCGGCCGAUAUCAGAUUAGGUAGUUGGUGGGGUAAAGGCCCACCAAGCCGACGAUCUGUAGCUGGUCUGAGAGGACGACCAGCCACACAGGAACGGGGACACGGUCCAGACUCCUACGGGAGGCAGCAGUGGGGAAUUUUGGACAAUGGGCGAAAGCCUGAUCCAGCCAUUCCGCGUGCAGGAUGAAGGCCCUCGGGUUGUAAACUGCUUUUGUACAGAACGAAAAGGUUUCUACUAAUACUAGGAGCUCAUGACGGUACUGUAAGAAUAAGCACCGGCUAACUACGUGCCAGCCGCCGCCGUAA